rnacentral:rRNA from 1 species
UACGUAGGUGGCAAGCGUUGUCCGGAUUUACUGGGCGUAAAGCGCACGUAGGCGGCGAUUCAAGUCAGAGGUGAAAGCCCGGGGCUCAACCCCGGAACUGCCUUUGAAACUAGAUCGCUAGAAUCUUGGAGAGGUCAGUGGAAUUCCGAGUGUAGAGGUGAAAUUCGUAGAUAUUCGGAAGAACACCAGUGGCGAAGGCGACUGACUGGACAAGUAUUGACGCUGAGGUGCGAAAGCGUGGGGAGCAAACAGG